rnacentral:sRNA from 1 species
UAGCUGGAGGGCUCUCUCCUGUCCUUGC